AAGCCUUUUUUUUCUUCUCUCUCUUCACUUCUCACUCCUAUUUUCUCUCUCUGGCGGCAGAUGCUCUGCCCUCUUUCUAUCCGCUCACUUCUUCUUCUCUCCCUCUCUCCAUUCCCGUCACCGACCGAAUCAAACCUCCUGCUCCUCUCCGCGGACAACCCAAACCUAGAUAAUUAUCCUGUCGUUCUCAACCCAAAACGGUGCCCUUUUGCUGGUAAGGAUUUGGUGCUGGAGAGGAGUUGAGAACGACGCUGUUUCAAAGAAGAGGGAGCUGAGUUUUGAAGCUGGUCAGUGGGCUUUUGCUAGUCCGAUCUUCCCUGGGCUUAAUUGGGUUGGAGCUUUGGGAAAACAAGAUCUAGCCAUCGAGAGAAGAAUCUUUCACAGCAAUUGCUGCAAUUAUAAUGGAUGCCGAGGAUUGGGAAAGUUGUUUGGACAACGAGAUCUAUCUGCAAGACAGAAACGAGGAUGAUGGUGAAGAGAAUUACUACUCAUUUGGUUUCUUAUCCAAAUUACAAUUUAGGAAAGAUAUUUCAAAGGCUAGAUGGAUUAAUGAUUUGGCUAUGGCUGAAGUUGUUGAAAAGAAGGGUAAGAUGUGGGUGACUAUGGGGAUGGUUCGUAGUGGCAAGACAUAUUGCUUCAUUGAGGAAACUCUGUUUUUGAUUGAAAUAGGGGCAUUGCAUCUUUCGGAUGAAAAUGGUAUAUGUCUUUCCUUAAAAGAAGUAUAUGAGAAGCUUUCAGAUGAAAGUGGGUGUUAUUGGGAGCUUUUUGAGGUUUAUAGGCACUUAAAGUCUCUUGGUUAUAUAGUUGGGCGUCAUGGUAUCGCUUGGUCUGUGAAGGGUCUAAAGAUCAAAACUGGAACCUGUUCACUUCAGGGCGGUGAAGAGAGAAAUGAGUUGCUAGAAAUGGAGCCUAAAGGCACAAGUUCCAUUAUUGAUUUGUUCGAUAAUAUGCAGAUUAAUGAAGUGAGUCCAGCUUUUGAUGUUUAUCUUCCAAACAGCCGGUUUAGAAAGUCUUCUCCGGGUGAUCCAAGUUUUUCCCUCUACUUAAGUAGGGGCAAUCCACCAUCCAAAGUAGAAAUUGAGGCCCUUGAGAGGAAGCAGGGUGCCAUCCCUUUGAAGUUUUGUCAUGUAGAGAAUGGGCGUGUCAGUUUCUUCUCCUUUGAUAGGGUGGAGCUUGCUGUCUUACCUUAAAAUUUCUUGCUAUUUUGCACAACUGGUAUAGCAAAAGAAGUAUGAAGAUAUAUAUUCUUGGAGUUGCAAGUUGUUGAGUGACGCUCCUACAGUUGGAAUUCACCGCUUUUUGCAAAAGUUGAACUCAAUUCUCUAAUACUUGGUCGCAGAAGAAUGCUUUAUCUUUGUACAUACAAGAUGGGAUUUAUCCUUGUCACCUUCUCUAAUUUAUCUUUAGUUAAGCAUUAAAACACGUACAAGAUGAGGCAUUAAGAACUUUAUGCGAGGUAUAAAAGCUUAGAGCACAUGAUUUACUCGUUAGAUUUUGAUGUGAUGUCCAUACAUAUGGUCUCACAUUGAUAUGGCUAACUGCAAAUCAUAGCAUCUUCAGAAAAAUAUGCUGAUACUUAAAACCUGUGUUUUCGGAGGUGGUGGAAAAUGCGACUUCCUACAUGGAAUCUUAUAGAGUAAAAGAUCAAUUGUUUUGAAUGCUUGAACCCACCGUUCUAUCCUCUAAAAUAAGUCAAAAGGAUGCAUCUCAUGGUUGACUAGGCAAACAUAUAUGAUCAAGGCA